ACUCUUUUUGCAAUCUGGUAAGUGAGAAAUGGUAGAAAAAGGCUUUUUACGGAAGUGUGAGUUAAUAGAAACUGGUCCUUAAGGGCUGAAGUGGCAAGAGGAGGAGGUGAUGAUAGAAAUCUGCAAAAAGUGGUUGUCACUGUAUGGUGAAAAUCUACAAUUAUUCUUUCUAGUAUAAGCAUUUCUUUCUAUGCACUGAUAUGGGUGCAUUCUACAAAUUUGAUAUUUAAACAUUUUUGUUUGCUGAGGAGAAGGAGGUGGAGGAGAGGGAGAGAGAAGCAUUUCUCUAGCAGUGCUGUGCUUGGUCCUGAGAUGGCAGUGUUUUCAUUUCCACCUCCCACACUCUGCACAUCUGUGUGUGUGUGUGUGUGUGUGUGUGUGUGUUUUACGUGUGCGCACCUUAUUUCCAAUUGGCUGGGCCGACUCUCUUUCCUGUAGAAAUGCUUGAACAUAUGAGAGAGCAAAGCAGAUCUUUUGUCUUGUGAGCCAUUGUCAACAUUUCAGACACAAGAAUUCAGUUUUCAGCGAGUCCGAGUGACAGAAGGAAUGGAGAAACCCUUAGGCCUGCUCAUCCUUUGGCUGCAACUAGACUGGGUGAGCGGUAAACAGGAGGUGAUGCAGAGUCCUGCAGCCCUGAGUGUCCCAGAAGGAGACAGCUCGGUUCUCAACUGCAGCUUCACUGACAGUGCUAUUUACAACCUUCAGUGGUUUAGGCAGGACUCUGAAAAAGGUUUCACAUCUCUGUUAUUAAUUCAGUCAAAUCAGAGAGAGCAAAAGAGUGGAAGAUUUAAAGCUUCAUUGGAUAAAUCAUCAAGACAAAGUACUUUAAACGUUGCAGCUUCUCAGCCUGGUGACUCAGCCACCUACCUCUGUGCUGUGAGGCACAGUGCAUGACAGCCACCUGCAACCCAUACCCAAACUCUACGGCCGGGAUCCAACCACACGUCCUUUUUGCAUUAAGAGGUUUUCUGAAUUGACACUCUCU